rnacentral:rRNA from 1 species
AGUGAACGCUGGCGGUAGGCCUAACACAUGCAAGUCGAACGGCAGCACAGUAAGAGCUUGCUCUUACGGGUGGCGAGUGGCGGACGGGUGAGGAAUACAUCGGAAUCUACUUUUUCGUGGGGGAUAACGUAGGGAAACUUACGCUAAUACCGCAUACGACCUACGGGUGAAAGCAGGGGAUCUUCGGACCUUGCGCGAUUGAAUGAGCCGAUGUCGGAUUAGCUAGUCGGCGGGGUAAAGGCCCACCAAGGCGACGAUCCGUAGCUGGUCUGAGAGGAUGGUCAGACACACUGGAACUGAGACACGGUCCAGACUCCUACGGGAGGCAGCAGUGGGGAAUAUGGGACAAGGGGCGCAAGCCUGAUCCAGCCAUACCGCGUGGGUGAAGAAGGCCUGCGGGGUGUAAAGCCCUUUUGUUGGGAAAGAAAAGCAGCAGGUUAAGACCCCGCUGUUCUGACGGUACCCAAAGAAUAAGCACCGGCGAACUUCGG